GACGAACGCUGGCGGCGUGCCUAAUACAUGCAAGUCGAGCGGACUUGACAGAGCUUGCUCUGUUCAAGUUAGCGGCGGACGGGUGAGUAACACGUGGGCAACCUGCCCUGCAGAUUGGGAUAACUCCGGGAAACCGGGGCUAAUACCGAAUAAUAUCGAAGAUUUCAUGAUCUUCUUUUGAAAGAUGGCUUCGGCUGUCACUGCAGGAUGGGCCCGCGGCGCAUUAGCUAGUUGGUGAGGUAACGGCUCACCAAGGCGACGAUGCGUAGCCGACCUGAGAGGGUGAUCGGCCACACUGGGACUGAGACACGGCCCAGACUCCUACGGGAGGCAGCAGUAGGGAAUCUUCCGCAAUGGACGAAAGUCUGACGGAGCAACGCCGCGUGAGUGAUGAAGGUUUUCGGAUCGUAAAACUCUGUUGUCAGGGAAGAACAAGUACGGGAGUAACUGUCCGUACCUUGACGGUACCUGACCAGAAAGCCACGGCUGACUACGUGCCAGCCGCCGCAGUAAAAC
rnacentral:rRNA from 1 species